rnacentral:rRNA from 1 species
AGGGCAAGUCUGGUGCCAGCAGCCGCGGUAAUUCCAGCUCCAAUAGCGUAUAUUAAAGUUGCUGCAGUUAAAAAGCUCGUAGUUGAAUUUCGGGAUCAAUACGUCGGUCGUGCCUCGGUACGUACUGGCGUCAUUGAUUUCUCCCUUCUGAAGGACCUUGAUGCCAUUAACUUGGUGUCAUGGGAAAUCAGGACUGUUACUUUGAAAAAAUUAGAGUGUUUAAAGCAGGCUCACGCUUGAAUACAUUAGCAUGGAAUAAUGAAAUAGGACGUUCGACCCUAUUUUGUUGGUUUCUAGGAUCAACGUAAUGAUUAAUAGGGAUAGUUGGGGGCAUUAGUAUUCAAUUGUCAGAGGUGAAAUUCUUGGAUUUAUUGAAGACUAACUACUGCGAAAGCAUUUGCCAAGGAUGUUUUCAUUAAUCAAGAACGAAAGUUAGGGGAUCGAAGACGAUCAGAUACCGUCGUAGUCUUAACCAUAAACUAUGCCGACUAGGGAUCGGAUGAUGUUAAUUUUUUAAUGACUCAUUCGGCGCCUUACGGGAAACCAAAGUGUUUGGGUUC